CCUACGGGGGGCUGCAGUGGGGAAUAUUGCACAAUGGGCGCAAGCCUGAUGCAGCCAUGCCGCGUGUGUGAAGAAGGCCUUCGGGGUGUAAAGCACUUUCAGCGGGGAGGAAGGCGUUGAGGUUAAUAACCUUGUCGAUUGACGUUACCCGCAGAAGAAGCACCGGCUAACUCCGUGCCAGCAGCCGCGGUAAUACGGAGGGUGCAAGCGUUAAUCGGAAUUACUGGGCGUAAAGCGCACGCAGGCGGUCUGUCAAGUCGGAUGUGAAAUCCCCGGGCUCAACCUGGGAACUGUAUUCGAAACUGGCAGGCUAGAGUCUGGUAGAGGGGGGUAGAAUUCCAGGUGUAGCGGUGAAAUGCGUAGAGAUCUGGAGGAAUACCGGUGGCGAAGGCGGCCCCCUGGACAAAGACUGACGCUCAGGUGCGAAAGCGUGGGGAGCAAACAGGAUUAGAUACCCUAGUAGUC
rnacentral:rRNA from 1 species